rnacentral:ncRNA from 1 species
AUCAUUGGGGAGGGAUUCGUUAGGUCAUACCGUCAGCGACGGGGAAGAUGGUGCAAAUCCAUCACGGUGCCGCCACUGUAAGCGGGGAGUGACUCUGCAGAAUGCCACUGUGUGCCUCGGCACAUGGGAAGGCGCGGAGAAGCUGUGAUCCGCAAGUCAGGAGACCCAACUGCCGGGACGAUAGACAC